rnacentral:rRNA from 1 species
GACGAACCGUCCUAACGUUGUUCGGAAUCACUGGGCUUAAAGGGCGCGUAGGCGGGUCACCAAGUCCGGGGUGAAAUCUUUCGGCUCAACCGGAAAAUAGCCUUGGAUACUGGUGGUCUCGAGGGUGGUAGGGGCAUGUGGAACUUCCGGUGGAGCGGUGAAAUGUGUUGAUAUCGGAAGGAACGCCGGUGGCGAAAGCGACGUGCUGGACCACUACUGACGCUGAGGCGCGAAAGCCAGGGGAGCAAACGGG